rnacentral:rRNA from 1 species
GUUGUAUAGUCAAGUAAUUAAGUGCAUGUGGUGGAUGCCUUGGCAGUCAGAGGCGAUGAAAGACGUGCUAGCCUGCCAAAAGCUCCGGGGAGUCGGCGAAGAUCCUUUGAUCCGGAGAUGUCUGAAUGGGGAAACCCACC